rnacentral:rRNA from 1 species
GUGAACGCUGGCGGUAGGCCUAACACAUGCAAGUCGAACGGCAGCACAGUAAGAGCUUGCUCUUACGGGUGGCGAGUGGCGGACGGGUGAGGAAUACAUCGGAAUCUACUUUUUCGUGGGGGAUAACGUAGGGAAACUUACGCUAAUACCGCAUACGACCUACGGGUGAAAGCAGGGGAUCUUCGGACCUUGCGCGAUUGAACGAGCCGAUGUCGGAUUAGCUAGUUGGCGGGGUAAAGGCCCACCAAGGCGACGAUCCGUAGCUGGUCUGAGAGGAUGAUCAGCCACACUGGAACUGAGACACGGUCCAGACUCCUACGGGAGGCAGCAGUGGGGAAUAUUGGACAAUGGGCGCAAGCCUGAUCCAGCCAUACCGCGUGGGUGAAGAAGGCCUUCGGGUUGUAAAGCCCUUUUGUUGGGAAAGAAAAGCAGCAGGUUAAUACCCCGCUGUUCUGACGGUACCCAAAGAAUAAGCACCGGCUAACUUCGUG